rnacentral:tRNA from 1 species
GCCAGCAUGGCAUAGUGGUUUGAGUGUUGGACUGUGGCUCUGGAGACCAGGGUUCGAAUCCCAGCUUGACU